GAUCAUUAAUGUAAUUGAAAAAUAGGAAAUUUUUGAUCUAUGGUCAUUCAAGGCCUGCGCUUCAUUGCGCGGCCUGGCUUUUAGUCGGAUUUUCUUUUUUUUUUCAAUACACUUUGUUUUUGUUAUAUGGAGGAUAAGGUAUAUUUAUUUAUGCUUUGUCUUCUAUAUUUUGAAAUAAACUCUUAACAAAUAUAUUUUUUUAAAAAAACUUAAUCAAUUAUAUCUUUUUUAAGAUUAAAAAAAAAUUAAAACUUUCAGCAACGGAUCUCUUGGUUCUCGCAUCGAUGAAGAACGCAGCGAAUUGCGAUAAGUAAUGUGAAUUGCAGAUUUUCGUGAAUCAUCGAAUCUUUGAACGCAUAUUGCACUCUAUGGUAUUCCAUAGAGUAUACCUGUUUGAGCGUCAUUUCUCUCUUAAACCUUUGGGUUUAGUUAUGGGGGUUGUGUUUCUUUCGUUAAACAAAGAAACUCCUCUGAAAUGGCUCGGCAUGCUUCCCUUACCUUGCUAAGUAGCUAUAGCUGGCUUUAUUAUGUAGGUUUUACCAAUAUUAAUAAACACCCAGUUAAUUGGCUGAAAGGUUUGUGGCAAGAAGCCUAAACAAA
rnacentral:misc_RNA from 1 species